rnacentral:lncRNA from 1 species
UAAUACUUCAUUGAUUUAUUUAGCAAUGCAUGUAAAAAGUUAAAUUUUAGAAUGUAUUUAAAACUACUACCCAUUUUUGACUUUUAAAAAUCACUUUUUUAAUCAUUUGAAUUCUAAGAUGAAUGAGGAAACAAAUCAAACAUAAACUUCAAACACAGUCCAUUUUGUUAAGUCUCAAGAAACAGUAGAAAAAUGUCCCAGUCAAAUUACAAUAAAAACACAAAACAAUAAAGCCUUCUUACUCAGCAGCUACCUACUAUGUUUAACAGGCUUAAAACAAAAUGUGUCAAAGAUCAAGAGUAAGUUAUCUGAGAUGUUAAGUUCAUAAGGUCAAAGGUACAAUUUUAUUAGGUCAGAGGUAAUAUAAAUAAAAUCUUACAUGUCAAAGAAGAAAGGUCACAGACAAGGUGUAUAUAAUAUAAAGACAUCAUAGAUGACAAGUAAUAACUUUAAGUAGAACAAGUAUGUUUACUAUAGAUACCCUCUACUGAUUAAAAAAAUGAAACUUCCAUGAGAGUAGUAGAAAAUAACCUUUUUAUAUCACAUAAUUCAUAUGCUAUAUUAUACACUUGUUUUCAGGAAGAAGAGGCUAUAACCAAGAAUAACAACAUGAAUUAAGUUAGAACUUUAAGAAAAUUUAAUUCCUUCAAACUGAAACAGUACACAAAAUGAACACACCAAUCAAAUCUCAAACCAUAAUGGCUAAACAUAAGACUGCUAUGGCUACAAAAAUUAGAUAAUAUUGCACAUUUUUCUUCCGAAGUGCGUGAAUCCUAUUAUUUCCUUCUAACCUUUUCUCACUGAAAUAAAAACAUGCGAAAUUUAUAUUUCAGUUUACAUAAUACCAUAUUCCAGAAAAAUUGUUAAGUUUUUUUUGUAAAUUAAAUAAUAUUUUUAGCUGUUUUAUUAAUGGAAAUUAAUUACAAAUAAUUUUUUUUGAGAUCGAGUCUCACUCUUGUCGCCCAGGCUAGAGUGCAAUGGCACAAUCUCAGCUCACUGCAACCUCCGGCUUCUGUGUUCAAGCAAUUCUCCUGCCUCAGCCUCUGAAGUAGCUGGAAUUACAGGCGCGCGUCACCAUGCCCAGCUAAUUUUUGUAUAUUUAGUAGAGACAGGGUUUCACCAUGUCGGCCAGGCUGGUCUCGAACUCCCGACCUCAGGUGAUCCACCCACCUCAGCCUCCCAAAAUGCUGGGAUUACAGGCGUGAGCCACCGCGCCUGGCCACAAAUAAUUUUUAUAAAGGAAAGAAUAUCCUUUACAAUGGGAAUUAUUACAAGUAAUUGAGGCAAUUAAGGAUUUUUUUAAAAGUAGAGUACACAAAACAUGACUAUAGUUCUUAACAGAAAAUUCAAGUAGAAAAUGGGGGUAAUCAUGAAAGAUUUAAGUAAUAAAGAACUCCAUACUAUUCUCUCUUAAACUACUCAUACGAUUUGAGUAAAAGGCAGAAAAUUAUUUGAGGCAAACUAGAUUAUUAGUUCCAUGUUCCAUUUCAUUUGUAUUAAAAGCACUUAGAAUUUACGAAGGUGAAAUUGAGAGUUCUACUCCCAUGAUACCUUCGAGCCACUCUGUAUAAACUUUUCAUUUUGAUUCAACUCAAUGGACAUUUAUAAAUAACCUUAACUAUAUGUCAAGCAUUAUAUCAAACAUGAAUAUGCAAGGCUCAAACACUGGAGACUUUUAAUUAUAGCUACCGUGAACUGGCUUGUACUGGACUAAUCUAAUGCCAAAAGUUGUACAAAAUACCCAAAGCAACUAUUUGAAGGGAACAAAAGCCAACAUAGACAGGACUUGAAUGACUAUGAUGCCUAAAAAAAUGCAAGCACAUAAAAUUAGCUGUACAUUCAUUCUGGAUACUUCCUUCAGGGUUUAUGCCAAUUUUUGGCAUGGGAGAACAGUGCAAGCAGACAGUACCAGUCUUAGUGAGCUGAGGAGACAGAAUUUGAAGUUUAGAGCCAUCAAAGUGGUUAAAACUUGAGGAGCAAAAUUCUUCCAAGUUAAAAAAUCACAAAAAAAGUGAGCUCAGACUGGGCUAUAUUUUUGGUUCCAUAUGAAUUUUAGAAUAGUUUUUUCUAAUUCUGUGAAGAAUGUCAUUGGUAGUUUGAUAGGAAUAGCAUUGAAUCUGCAAAUUGCUUUGGGCCAUAUGCCCAUGUUAACAAUACUGACUCUUCCUAUCCAUGAGCAUGGAACAUUUUUGCAUUUGUUUGUGUUAUCUCUGGUAUCUUUGAGUAGUGUUUUGUAAUUCUCAUCUGUAGACAUCUUUCACCUUCCUGUUUAGCUGGAUUCCCAGAUUUUUUAUUCUUUUUGUAGCUAUUUUGAAUGAGACUGAGUUCUUGAUUUGGGUCUCAGCUUUGAUGUUGUUGCUGUGUAGAAACGCUACUGAUUUUUCUACAUUCAUUUUGUGUCCUGAAACUUCACUGAAGUUGUUUAUCAGAUCUAGGAGCUCUGGAGCAGACCCUUUUAGGUUUUCCAGGUAUAGAAUUAUAUAAUCUGCAAAGGGAGAUGGUUUCACUUUUUUCAUGCUAUUUGGAUGCCUCUGAUUCUUUCUCUUGCCUGACUGCUCUGGCUAGGCCUUCCAGUACUAUGUUGAAUAGGAGUGGCGAGAGUGGGAAUCCUUGUCUCGUUCCAGUUCUCAAGGGGAAUGCUUCUAGCUUUUGCCCCUCCACUAUGAUGUUGGCUGUGGGGUUGUCAUAGAUGGCUCUUCUUAUUUUGAGCUAUGUUCCUUCAAUUCUUAGUUUGUUGAGGGUUUUUAACAUGAAAGGAUGUUCCUUUCAUCUUCGAAAUUGCUGUCCUUUGGAUGAGGCUUUUUGUUUUUAUAUUCUUUGAUGCCCUUGAGGGUUUGACUGCAGUAUACACUGCACGUUCAGUGAACUGGCUCUGCUUCUGGAUGAUUUCAGCAGCGCUGGACUGCAUGCCCUGGGGGACUGAGACCAGGCCCAUGGCUUUGCUCUUAGGCACCUCAAAGUUAAGCACUUGCUGCGCUGGAGUGGCUAAGGUGUUCCUGGUCCGCUGGCAACAACACUUCAAUGGCGGGCGCUGGCAAAAUCACUUCAUCAACAUGGUGGUAUCAGGUUCAAGUGCACAGGCUAGCAGUCACAGGUUCCACAUGCACGCAGUUGCAGCUGGCAGAGUGUGAACAGUAUUCGCACACUGGUGAUGGCAGGGCAAUGGCAACGGAGUCCAUACCUGCACCGGUGCCAGUAGCAGCAUGGUGGCAAAGUCCAUGCAGCUGCCAGAAAGUGGUGGGGAGAGGCUGUGGGUAGUUGCACGCCAGCAGGGGCCCAUCCACAGAAGCUCUCCGAUGGUCAGGCAGGGUCUCCUGGGGUAGGAGCUACGGUGGCAGCCACCUGGAAGCACCUCGUUUGGGCAUCCAAGUCCGCACUGCAAGAAGGCAUGGCCAGGCAAGGACCCUGAGAGAUGCCAUCAGACCAGAGUGCUCGGAUUACACUGGCCCUGUCCCACUGUCAAGACAGCCCUGCUGUGUGCAGGUCUGACGGACAAUAAUGGCCAAAGCCACCUAGAGGAACACAGUGAGACUUGAGGGUUGAGCAUCUCUGGCUGCCCUCCACAGCAGCUGUUCCUGUGUCAAACCCUCUGGACUCUUCACAAGCUGGACUCCAGUCCCUGCCACCUCUCCAAGCAAUUCUCCCUGACAGCUCAAAUGUCCGUGGGGGUCAUGGGGUCUCCUGCAGCUAGGAUUCCAGAGGUCCGUGGUGAGAGUGGACCACUCCUUGCUUAGUUAGCCACCUCUUCCUCAGGAGAGAGUCCUGGUGCUCUACAAAGCCAGGCAACAUUCCCUGCUUUCUCUUGCAGCUUCAGCCCAGGGUGUGCCUUCCCUUCCUCUACUCUCAAUGCCUUCCUUAGGAAGAUCUGCUCAGAGUGUGCCAGCCUUCUUGAUGGUCUGGUCUCUCAGUGGGAGAUGCUCUUCCUGGCUGCAUCUAGUCAGCCAUCUUGGCUCUUCCUGUUUCCCCUUCUUUUAACAAGUCAUUAAAUAAAAUACUAUUCAACUACAGACAUGUUCCUGAUGCUACACAGGAGGGCACUGACAUAAAGCUAAGAAGAAUAACUACAGCUUCACAUAAACAAUAGGGAUCACUUUCACAAGCUUAAGCAUGAAUGUAUGAAGUCAGGCAGAAAAGAAUACAUACUGUAUGAUAACAUUUGUAUGAAAUUUAAGAACAGGCAACACUAAAUAAUGAUACAAAAAUUCACAGUAGUUAACUUUUGGGGACAUAAGUAGGAGGGGGCAUAAGAGGAGCCCAAAGGGUACAACAAAUGAUCUAUAUUAUGAUCUGGGUGGUUUUAUAUCAGUUUAUACAUAUGUAAAAAUUCAUCAGCUAUAUACUUGAGAUUUAUGCUCUUGACUAAUGAAUGCCAUACCUAAAAAAAAAAAAAAGUUCAAUAUACACAUGCACCUACAUAAAGGUACCUGCCCUCAAAGAACCCACAAUAACUUUUCCUGGACAGCUUGAGUUGCUUAACAAAUAUGAAUUUCUUAUUCUUGAGUAGUUUUAAAAAUUUACUAUAAUAAAUAGGACAAUAAAUUCAUAGAUUAGCUAUAUCAUCCAAGUUUCAAAAAGAGUUAAAUGAAAAAUAUUCAUAUACAUAUUUAUACAAAUCUAAAUUCCAUGUUGACAAUAAUUAUGUGUGAAGAAAUAAUGAAUUUCCAAAAGCUUCUAAAUGGUAUACUGAUCCAAAAUUAUCCUCUUAAGUGAAAUUUAUGUGGUUAACUGUUUUCCAAGAAUGUGGCAUGUCAUUGAGUGAUUAUUUUCCUGCAUUAUUAAAAUAUCAAUAUACCAUAACAUUUCCUUAUACUGAAAUUAUGUAAAUAACAGCAUUAAAUUCUUUUUUCUAUCUUUCUUGUUAAAUUAAUAUAUACACUAAAAUAAUGACACAUUUGUACACUAUAUUGUAGUAGCUAUUAAGUGCUAAAUAUAGUUUUAAAUAAUCAUAGAAAUAAAUACAAACACGGAAUUCUUUAUAAUAAAACAGCACAUAUUGGGUACUCAAUAAACAAUUGUAAAUGAACAAAAAUAAAGUUUACCACUUCUUCAUCUGACAGUUCACGCC